UUGAACUUAAAUAAAGGGCCGAAUCUGCAAGGCCUAUCUGCUGUUGGAAGGCUCCCAGUUUCCGUGCUGGGUAGGGGAACGAUAACAAGAACGUUGACAUAGGGUAUUAAAGGUGGAAGUACGUUCUGAGGGUGAAAGCAUGAGAUGGCUUGUGAGCAAUUGUAGCCCCCAUGGAAGCAACAUGAAAGGCUCCAGAUGUUUGAUUGGAGCUUGCACUCAAGCACUCAAUGCCAGAGGUGAAGUUCAGAUUAGUAUUUAGGAGUUUCUCUUAAAUGUACCAACACAUUUCCCCACUUCCCGUUCUGGGUACACAACAAUACUUGGUGCUCUGAAAAUCACUCUGCACUCUCAGGCAGGCCAGCAUCAUCAAAGCCAUACCAUAGAUGGGAACUGUGGCGUUGAUGAUGUCUGAGGCUAUUGGAAGAGUUAUUAGCAGAGGAGGGUGAUGGGAAGGACUGAAUGCCUAGUCUGUGCCCCAGGAUCCUUUUGCCAGGCUUUCUACUGAGUCAAGCAAUACUGCUGCUUUCGAUGAAGCUUAGAGACAGUGGACGGUGGAGGUAGUGCUGUGACCUUGCUAGAGAAGAAGGACUUGAGGAAGCGUGGGUUGCAGUCCUAGCUCUGCCUCGGACUGGCGGUGAGAUCACAAGCAGGCUGACUCGCCUCGCUCACAAAAGCCUUUUCAUUCUGGAAAGGAAGGCAUUGGUUCUACCAGCCCGCACAAGCAGGGCAAGUAACUCACUCCAGUACAGGUCAGGGGAAAGAGAAAUCAAAAGAGAAAAGACCGUUCUGGCAAGAACCAGUAGAGGCCACCAUUGCACUCCUUAAAGGAUUCUGGCAUUUCCAUCGUGGGAUGGAUUUUUAAUUCCCAGAACAGCUCCUCUGAGAUUUCCCUAGGACACUCACUGCAAUAAUCAGUUCAGCAGGCAGUUCCUGAUGAAACAGAAGUCAUCUCCAAUCUCAUCCUUUCAUUCUUGUGGAGCUCUCAGUUCUUCCCUCUAUAGACAAGACCCUGUUGUAGGAGGCAGCAGGUCAGUACUUGAACUCCAAUGGAACAGGUGCAUUGCUGGACCUCUAUUUAACAUCCUCAGACUUGAAGUAUUACUAUGUAAGGUCCUUGCUUUGCUCCAAGCAGCCUGAGAGAUACUCAACAGUCAACCACUUUGAGUUGGCAUUACAGUGGCAUAUAUUAAAAUCAUGGUCUCCUCGUGAAUGCUCCUCUAGUCACCUAGAUGGAUGUUGACAGGGCAACUUUUAGCUUGUCAGAGCAGGGGCCAGCUAUAUACUAGCAGCCUGCUAGGAAAAUAAAGGAUUAAAGACAAAGCACAGUGAUGUUAAGUGCCAUACAGUUUCUGGUGAGAAGAAGGUAAGUAGGAAGAAUGCAGAAGAGCCAGAGGAUGCUGGUCCAUGGGAUUGUGGGAAUGCCAGUAGAGAACAGCCUGGACACGAGCAUGUUGCUUGCUAUCAUACUACAUCCCUGCUGCAAAGCAUACAGGUAAAGGGAUGGGUAUAGGCUUAAUGCAGCAUUUACUGGAAACAGAGAAGUGCUUAAAGCUCUGUACAUUCUUACCUCUGGGAAAGGGUAUAAGGGCUUUAAGUGUGAAUGCAAGAGGAGUAUGGGUAAAGUAUGCAUGCAAAUCUGAACCUAUAGGUAGCUUGCAGGUUAGGCACACCCCCAGUCUGCCCUUACUUAGAUGUACUCCCAUGCUUAAGUAAGGAUCUCCUGAUUCUGGUUGACUGUCAGUAUAGUUCUUUGCUGUGUAUGCUGUGAUGCACUUUCCACUGGCCACAGAUGUAACAGGAGCAAUUGCUUGUUUUAGGAAGAAAGGCAUUAACUUGAUCAGAUUGAGCAGAAAAUCCCUCUUUGGUGAGUUCCUCCUAUUGUAUAGCUUUCUGCUUACAACUUAAAACACUGUUUGUCUGUUCUCCAUUCA